rnacentral:rRNA from 1 species
UGCAGUCGAGCGGUAGCACAAGGAGCUUGCUCCUGGGUGACGAGCGGCGGACGGGUGAGUAAUGUCUGGGAAACUGCCCGAUGGAGGGGGAUAACUACUGGAAACGGUAGCUAAUACCGCAUAACGUCUUCGGACCAAAGUGGGGGACCUUCGGGCCUCACACCAUCGGAUGUGCCCAGAUGGGAUUAGCUAGUAGGUGAGGUAAUGGCUCACCUAGGCGACGAUCCCUAGCUGGUCUGAGAGGAUGACCAGCCACACUGGAACUGAGACACGGUCCAGACUCCUACGGGAGGCAGCAGUGGGGAAUAUUGCACAAUGGGCGCAAGCCUGAUGCAGCCAUGCCGCGUGUGUGAAGAAGGCCUUCGGGUUGUAA